rnacentral:rRNA from 1 species
CCGGAGCUUGCUCCACCGGAAAAAGAAGAGUGGCGAACGGGUGAGUAACACGUGGGUAACCUGCCCAUCAGAAGGGGAUAACACUUGGAAACAGGUGCUAAUACCGUAUAACAAUCGAAACCGCAUGGUUUUGAUUUGAAAGGCGCUUUCGGGUGUCGCUGAUGGAUGGACCCGCGGUGCAUUAGCUAGUUGGUGAGGUAACGGCUCACCAAGGCCACGAUGCAUAGCCGACCUGAGAGGGUGAUCGGCCACCAUUGGAGACUGAGACACGGCCCCAAACUCCUACGGGGAGGCACCAGUAGGGAAUCUUCGGCAAUGGACGAAAGUCUGACCGAGCAACGCCGCGUGAGUGAAGAAGGUUUUCGGAUCGUAAAACUCUGUUGUUAGAGAAGAACAAGGAUGAGAGUAACUGUUCAUCCCUUGACGGUAUCUAACCAGAAAGCCACGGCUAACUACGUGCCAGCAGCCGCGGUAAUACGUAGGUGGCAAGCGUUGUCCGGAUUUAUUGGGCGUAAAGCGAGCGCAGGCGGUUUCUUAAGUCUGAUGUGAAAGCCCCCGGCUCAACCGGGGAGGGUCAUUGGAAACUGGGAGACUUGAGUGCAGAAGAGGAGAGUGGAAUUCCAUGUGUAGCGGUGAAAUGCGUAGAUAUAUGGAGGAACACCAGUGGCGAAGGCGGCUCUCUGGUCUGUAACUGACGCUGAGGCUCGAAAGCGUGGGGAGCAAACAGGAUUAGAUACCCUGGUAGUCCACGCCGUAAACGAUGAGUGCUAAGUGUUGGAGGGUUUCCGCCCUUCAGUGCUGCAGCUAACGCAUUAAGCACUCCGCCUGGGGAGUACGACCGCAAGGUUGAAACUCAAAGGAAUUGACGGGGGCCCGCACAAGCGGUGGAGCAUGUGGUUUAAUUCGAAGCAACGCGAAGAACCUUACCAGGUCUUGACAUCCUUUGACCACUCUAGAGAUAGAGCUUCCCCUUCGGGGGCAAAGUGACAGGUGGUGCAUGGUUGUCGUCACCUCGUGUCGUGAAAAUGUUGGGUUAAGUCCCGCAACGAGCGCAACCCUUAUUGGUAGUUGCCAUCAUUUAAGUUGGGCACUCUAGCAAAACUGGCCGGUGACAAAACCGAAGGAAAGGUGGGGAUGACGUCAAAUCAUCAUGCCCCUUAUGACCUGGGCUACACACGUGCUACAAUGGGAAGUACAACGAGUCGCGAAGUCGCGAGGCUAAGCUAAUCUCUUAAAGCUUCUCUCAGUUCGGAUUGUAGGCUGCAACUCGCCUACAUGAAGCCGGAAUCGCUAGUAAUCGCGGAUCAGCACGCCGCGGUGAAUACGUUCCCGGGCCUUGUACACACCGCCCGUCACACCACGAGAGUUUGUAACACCCGAUG